rnacentral:RNase_P_RNA from 1 species
GGCAGGGAAAGCUCAUCAAGGUGGCCAAGGCACUGAGUGCUCCUCAUUCCCCGGCCCCUUGGGAAAAUCUGUGACUGGAGCCUCUGGAGGCCCUAACUGGGCUCUUCCUGAGGAGUCAGGAGGUGAGUUCCUAGAGAGCAGGCCUCCAUUCUUGGGCAGUCUGGGCAGGAGAUGCCCCCAGUAGGCAGAUGCUUCCCUGGCCGGAGCUUGCAACAGACUCACAGCCAGCACAGAGCGAGACAAACUUAUUUUGAUGGC